UACGUAGGAGGCGAGCGUUGUCCGGAAUUACUGGGCGUAAAGAGCGCGUAGGCGGCGCGGUACGACCGCUGUGAAAGCCCCCAGCUCAACUGGGGGAGGGUCAGCGGUAACGGCCGUGCUAUGAGUGCAGGAGAGGGAAGUGGAACUCCGGGAGUAGCGGUGAAAUGCGUAGAGACCCGGAGGAACACCAGUGGCGAAGGCGGCUUCCUGGUCUGCGACUGACGCUGUGGCGCGAAAGCUAGGGGAGCAAACGGG
rnacentral:rRNA from 1 species